CAAAUACAAAAAAAAAAUAUUCGUUGUUCCGGAUAACCUCGUUUCGGCGAUCUGAAUCAUAUCGUUCACUACUUUGACCCGUUCAAAAGAUUCGGUUCGUUGGCAAACGACGCAUCUCUACGUUGUAAUACCACGUUUUUAAUGGCGAUUAUAAAUGAAUACGUUCGAAUGUACCUGCGCCGGUUAUGUUAAAUUUUUUAAUGCCAAAAAUAAUACGACUCGCCACGCUAAAUAGCACGACGGAAUAAAAUUUCAAUGUUCUCCGUGUCCGAAAAUGUUUUCGCGUAAAGAAAACCUGGCCGGACACGUUAAAAUCGUUCAUCGUUUCAUCGUGACGGAAGAUUCGCCACGCCGACUAUUCCCCCAGGGGCCAGACCAUCGACUUCAACUGUGCUACGGACUACUGACGAAGGAAAUGACGAACCGUUUAUGGAAAUCGAUAUGGAUAAAGGGUAAGAUUUCUUUUAUUAUGGCCCACCACAUAGCGUGGGAAUAAGUUUUAAGUUUUUUUUUUUUUUUUUUGGUAGGUAGGAAACGUAAGAAAGAAGAUACCGCAGCCCGAGUAAAGAAAUCAAGGAUAAAGUUAGUGAAAACACCGGGAUUCAUCGAAAUAGAUUCUUCGUUCUCCAGUAAAAUCAUGUGGUANUUUUUUUUUUUUUUUUUUGGUAGGUAGGAAACGUAAGAAAGAAGAUACCGCAGCCCGAGUAAAGAAAUCGAGGAUAAAAUUAGUGAAAACACCGGGAUUCAUCGAAAUAGAUUCUUCGUUUUCCAGUCAAAUCGUGUAGUACUAUUCUAAAAAUAUUUCAAGCAUACAAAAUCAACGACAAUUUCACCGUUCAAUCGAACCCGCACUUAAAGACCUUUUUUUGUCUCAAGUGACCGACGAGGGGCAGGCGGACCAUUUCUACCUUUUUUUAAUGACCUAAAAAAAAAAAUUUACAUUAUAUCUACAUCUCAAAUUUUUCCUGUCUUGUACUAUCACAGAAAACUACACAUAUUGGAGAAGUAAAUUUAUGUAAUCAGUGUUUGACGUCUUUCGAUAACCAGAAACUUAUAAAUAAAUUGAUCCGACAGGCAAUACCUGACCAACUUAAAUGGAUUUACUGCGAACAUAAACCUAUUUUGCCCAUCUUACCCGAAUCCAGUUCGGAAUCAUGUUUAGAAGCCAUGGAGAAAACACAACAUCAUUCUAUUGUUAUAUAAACUGAUUUCAAAGCUAUUUUAGAGAAGAAAGAUAAACAGAAAGGAGUGUACGCCAAUUAUCAAAAAAGAAUAUUCAGCAACUAAAAAAAUAAAAAUUGAACCCAUAGAUAUUUCAUUUGACUACAACAUUGUGAACAUAUAUUGAACCCAUAGAUAUGCGUUCCCAAAAUUGUAGUCAAAUGAAAUAUCUAUGGGUUCAAUUUUUAUUUUUUUAGUUGGUGAAUAUUAUUUCUUGAUAAUUGGCGUACACUCCUUUCUUUACUGAAAUAGCUUUGAAAUCAGCGUAUAUAACAAUGGUAUGAUGUUGUGUUUUCUUCAUUGUUUCCAAACAUGAUUUUGAACUGGAAUCGGGUAUGAUGGGCAAAAUAAGUUUACGUCCGCAAUAAAUCCAUUUAUGUUGGUCAAGUAUUGCCUGUCCAAUCAAUUUAUUUUUAAGUUUCUGGUUAUCGAAAGAUGUGAAACAUUGUUUACGGAAAAUUACUUCUCCCUUAUGUGUGGUUUUCUGUGAUCAUACACGAUGGGAAAAAUUUGAGAUGUAGAUAUAAUGUAAAUUUUUUUUUUUAGGUCCUUAAAGGAAGGUAAAAAUGGUCCGUUUUCUCCUCAGUCGUCACUUUAAGCCGAAAAACUGUGUGUACGGUUUUUUUGUAUCUUUCUUCCUUCUUCAGUCCGUAAACAUUUAUCGACCCAUUCAAAUUUUUUAAUGUCUUAAUGUUUAAAAUUUUUUUUUCAAAUUUUUUAAUGUUUGAAAGCGGGGUUGAGUACGUCAAUCCGGAGAAAUUGUAUUUAUUUUCGUGUUCGGUAUAAUUUGAACCAACGCGGUCUCUGUUUUACAUUUUGACUGUGAUAUACCUGAUGAUACCAGGGAUAUUCCAAUUUUAAAUAUUAUUAUAUUACUCAUUAUGUUCAUAUUUUAUAAUUUGAUAUAUUGAAUUAAGUGUUGUCUUUAAAAUUGUUGUUAUAUAUUGUUUAAAUAAUGUAUAAUAAAAUUGUAUGCUUGGUAUUCUUUUGUUUUAACUUUCCUUGGCCAUUUUUGUAUGUCAAAUAAAAAUUAAUUUUGUGUCAAAUAUCAAUUGAAACAUCGGUAUUUUUUUUUAUAAAUUUCCCCUGGAUUCUAACUUCUCACUUUCCUCGACAAAAGCAGUGACAGCUUUUUUGUAAAUCAUAUUUAAUAUACGAUAUAACACCAAUGUAUAAUAUUAUAAAUAUAUUCAAUUCAUAUUGAAUUAAAUUUUUUUCAUUGUUGUAUAACACAAAAAUUAAC
rnacentral:lncRNA from 1 species